rnacentral:lncRNA from 1 species
UUACAGGAUAAGGCCAAGUAGGAACUGCAUGUCUUCAGGAGGGCAGCAGGGCCUGCUCUCUAGAUAAAUAAAUUAAUAAUUUCAGGUGAGAGUUGUCAAACCAGAACUUAUGAGCAGCGUGGAAUUCAGACAGGCCUUGUACCUGGUAUGGAUAUUAAAUACAAUGAGGAGAGACAGUGCCAAGAAGCACAGAGAUGCUCGCAAGGCCUUAUGCUGUGGCUCUGGGGACAUUGGACCUGGACUCUGGUUGAAGACUCUGCCAUAACCGGGAUGCAGCCAACCAUGGGACUGGUAGUGGCAAAGAGAAAAGGGAUGCAGUGUGGAGGCAGCAGCUAACUGACCUAUUACCAGCACACUCCAUGUGCCAAGGGUGCCUCCUGGGGCCCCAGCACCCAGCUGCUUGGCAUUGAGACGCAUGCUUCAGUGGGCAUGGUGAUGAAGGUUUAAUGGUUGGACUAGAUGACCUUAGUGGUUUUCCAGCCUUCACCAUUCUGUGACACUGAGAACCUGUUCCCACCCCUUCGUGCUGCUACUCAUCAAUCCACAUGUCCCAGGUAAGCGUCUGUGAAGUUUAGAACUCUUUAGAAAAUAUGAGAGGAAGCUACUAAGUUUUUUUUGGAAAAAAAAAAAACAGGAUUUGUUUGAUUUGAUUUUUUGGAAAAAAAGACAGGACUGUGUCUGAGGCUUGUAUUUAAGAGGUGGGCUCAUUUGUCAAAAAAGGGAGGCAAUUCCUAGUGAAAAGUGCUCACUGCAGUGUGUCAGGAGCUGGAGACUGAAAACUAUUAAUGCAAGUAUGUGGCCUGGAGGAACAAAUAUAUUGGUUGACCUCCUAAUGGAUGAUUUUAAAUCUAAAAAAAGUGAGUUUAUAUUGCUUACAUUGCUCCAUCUGAGUUAUUUGCCUGACUUUGAUGAGAAUUCUUCUUCCUUCUCUGUCACUGUAGUGAGAAAUCACAGGAAAUUUCUUCAUCAGGGAUAGGAAGAGGCUUUAUGCUCCAAGUUUUAAUAUCUGCACUUAUGAAAUAUGUUACAACUUGGGUGCUCCUCCUGAGAAGCCCUAGAAAGGAGCAGAAGUGGUUUCAAAUGCAGAAGGAGAGUUAAAUCGACAGUGUUAAAAAAGUAAUCUGUGUAAACUGUUUUACAACUGAAGAGUUAUGCAAAGCCGUAUCUUACCUUGGCAUCCUGCCCCAAACUGUGCAUCCAUAAAGCACCACAGCCCUGCCUUGACACAUUUUAUAGUAUAUUUCAGCUUUGAGGAAAAUAAACUAGUUGUUAAAAUACUUCUGUAAGUCCCG